rnacentral:rRNA from 1 species
AUUGAACGCUGGCGGCAUGCCUUACACAUGCAAGUCGAACGGCAGCACGGGUGCUUGCACCUGGUGGCGAGUGGCGAACGGGUGAGUAAUACAUCGGAACAUGUCCUGUAGUGGGGGAUAGCCCGGCGAAAGCCGGAUUAAUACCGCAUACGAUCCACGGAUGAAAGCGGGGGACCUUCGGGCCUCGCGCUAUAGGGUUGGCCGAUGGCUGAUUAGCUAGUUGGUGGGGUAAAGGCCUACCAAGGCGACGAUCAGUAGCUGGUCUGAGAGGACGACCAGCAACGCGGGGACUGAGCACCGCCCCGGCCUCCGAGGGGGGCAAGCAGUGGGGAUUUUUGGAAAAGGGGGAAAGGCCGGCCCCAGCAGUGCCGGUGGUGUAAAAAAGCCUUUCGGUUUUAAAAGCACUUUUUCCCGGAAAGAAAUCUUUGCCUCUAAUCAGGUGGGGGAAGGAGGGUCCCGGAAAAAUAGGCCCCGGCUACCUCCGGC